rnacentral:rRNA from 1 species
UACAGGGGGUGCAAACGUUGCUCGGAAUUAUUGGGCGUAAAGCGCGCGUAGGCGGCUACUUAAGUCGGAUGUGAAAGCCCUUGGCUCAACUGAGGAAGUGCACCCGAAACUGAGUGGCUUGAGUACCAAAGAGGGUCGCGGAAUUCCCGGUGUAGAGGUGAAAUUCGUAGAUAUCGGGAGGAACACCGGUGGCGAAGGCGGCGACCUGGGUGGAUACUGACGCUGAGGAGCGAAAGCGUGGGGAGCGAACAGG